UGGGGAAGAUGGUNGGUCGGUUUGAAGUACCGUGGAAAAAGCCACGGAUAAUUUGGGCCAGCAGCCGCGGUAAAACAGGGGUGGCCAGCAUGUCGGGAUUAAAUGGGUGUAAGGGGGCGCAGGCGGAUCAAUAAGUGGGGGUUUAAUCCAUGUGCUUACACAUGCACGGCUUCAGAUAANGUUGAUNUAGAGUAUUGAAGAGGAAGGUGGAAUUUCCGGUGUAACGGUGGAAUGUGUAGAUAUCGGAAAGAACACCAGUGGCGAAGGCAGCCUUCUGGUCGAGUACUGACGCUCAUGCACGAAAGCGUGGGGAGCAAACAGAAUUAGAUACCCUGGUAGUCCACGCCGUAAACGAUGAAUAAUAGAUGUUGGUCAUGUUGAUCAGUGAAACAGGUGGAGCGCGUUAAGUAUUCCACCUGGGAAGUACGCCCGCAAGGGUGAAACUCAAAGGAAUUUGACGGGGGCCCCGCACAAGCGGUUGGAUUCAAUGUGGUUUAAUUCGAAUCAACGCGAAGAACCCUUCCAGUGGCCUGACUNUCAGCCAUACCACCNGUAAGGGAGGGCCUGCGGGGAGNCGGUGCUGGGGCNUGCNUAGGCUGCGUCUGUCGGUCGUGUGAGAGUGGGUNUUGCCCUUCGCCUGCGACAGNCANCAAUACGCCUGUGGGGUCCNCANAGCAUUGCGUCCGCCGCUCCCUGUAGUGCGCGCNGCCCCGCAAUCCAAGCAGAGAGGCUCGCCCGCGCGUCCACCCGGCCUGGACCCGACACCGAUCGAGUAGAGGGUNA
rnacentral:rRNA from 1 species